UACGUAGGUCGCAAGCGUUGUCCGGAAUUAUUGGGCGUAAAGAGCUCGUAGGCGGCCUGUUGCGUCCGCUGUGAAAUCCCGGGGCUCAACCCCGGGCCUGCAGUGGAUACGGGCUGGCUGGAGGCAGGCAGGGGAGAACGGAAUUCCUGGUGUAGCGGUGAAAUGCGCAGAUAUCAGGAGGAACACCGGUGGCGAAGGCGGUUCUCUGGGCCGAUACUGACGCUGAGGAGCGAAAGCGUGGGGAGCGAACAGG
rnacentral:rRNA from 1 species